rnacentral:rRNA from 1 species
ACACCGCCCGUCACACCAUGGGAGUGGGUUGUACCAGAAGUAGAUAGCUUAACCUUUUGGAGGGCGUUUACCACGGUAUGAUUCAUGACUGGGGUGAAGUCGUAACAAGGUAACCGUAGGGGAACCUGCGGUUGGAUCACCUCCUUACUGAAGAC